UAGCUCCGGCGCGCGGCGGGCGUCCUUCCGGUCACGUCAUCCUUCACGGAGGCACUCCGUCGUCUGGCGUCGUCACGAGGGGGCUGACUUUGACGUCAUAGUUGGAGAGAAAGGCCGAGGUCAGGCCCGCAGAGCCCUUCCCGCCGCGCCUUGAAUUGGGACGUGGCUGUGCUCGCUUCAGCAGCACCUGUACCAGAAAAAGGAAGUCGAAACAUUUCUUCUCUCAAGGUGGUCCACAGGAUGAUAAAGCCCAAGGGAAAGAAGCCAGAAGUAUGACCAGAUAGUCCUAGUGGUUGUAAAGGUUAGCCUUUAUACUGAGGAUGCAAAAGCAAUGGUGGAUAAAACUGCUGGCAUUUUAGCAAGAACCAAGAUAGGCGCUCAGCUGUAGUUAUUGCUUUUUACUAAUCACUCUGCAAUGAAAGUGCCGUCCACUGGAGAGUACCUGGACUCUGUGUUUGAAGAUCUCUGUCUAAGAAAUUCACCAUAGGAAUGUGAGCUACAUCUGGCAUGACCUCAGUUGGUGUCAAGAUUUCAAAAGCCCAUGUAAUACGUCACACAUUCCUGACUCAAAAUCCUUGCCUACCAUGUAAAGGGGUUUGCACGUUACAAAGAGCCUGGAAGAAACGGCCGGGGCACACUCUGAAGAUUUCCCUAAAAUGAAGCUCUCGGUAAGAUAAAAGAACGCCUGCCUCUUUCAUCACGGACAUGUAGAGAGAGAGUGGAUCUGGAAAACAAAUUUAUACUUUUUCUGGAAAUGGGAAUCACUCAUAAAACACUUCAUGAGUUCAAGGUCCCCUUGUUGCCAUUGUGCCUCCUAUUCAUAUGGACUGUGAACAACCCAGAGGUAGUUGGACUAGUGGCAUGUUAUUGGAUGACUCUGCUUCAAAUUUGAAGAAUUUAUGAAAACUCUGAGUGCCAGACAAAAAUAGACAUUAAAAGGGUGUCGGAGUGCAAAGCUCAUUGAAACAACCCCCAGAUGGUUGGAUUUUACUCUAAAAACAAUUCCUGAUAAGAAAAAGACUAACUGAUGUUUUGAUGUCUCAGAAAGGGGCAUCUUUUUAUUUUCAAGUCUUCCUGCUACUAAGGGCAUACUGAUCUCUAGGCGUCUACUUUGGGAUACCUAUUCCCAAACUGCCUAUCAUCUCUUCACUCUUAGGUGGCUCAGCACCAGGUCCUGGAGAACAAGAUCUGUUUCUGAGCAAACUGGAGACCCUGGAAAACUGACAAGAAGAUGGAACAUAGGGGAUGCAACACUCAAAACUCAGGGAAAUGUGUUGUGCACCUAUUAAACAUAAGAUCUUUCAGUUCUAAUGUGAGGUUAGCUCUAUGUGAAGUUCUUUGUAUUGAUUUGUAAGUUGUGGAACUAACUUGUCUUUCCCUCUUGAAAUCCCACAAAAAUCAGUUGGUUAAAAUACAGAUCAUGUUCUAAAAGACAGUUUAUAGGGAUAUAAAAUGCUGGGACAACCAGAAAUCCCACAUUUUAGAUGUCAGGGCAUUUGAUCCAUUUCUGUGAAGCCCUUUGACUGAUUGAAUGUCUAACUUUGUAAAUUUAAGUGCCUUUUACUCUGGAGAUCUGUAGUUCUUCUUUCAAAAAAUCUUUUUAAGAAAUUGAGAAUUCUCUGAGUUGCUUGACCCUAGUUGAAGUCCAUGGGGCAAUCCAGGUUCUAGCCUUCACUCUAUAAAUGUUAAAUUUAUAACAACUUUCCGUCAUGGGUGCGACUAUGAAUAGUACGAUUUGGGGAUCGUGAAUUUAUGAAUGAACAGGCAGCUUUGAACUCCUGACGGGAGCAAGCACCAUAUGCCAUUCAAAGGUAAUUUUCCUUAGAUUUACAUUUCAUUUAUUCAUCCUGUGCCUCUAAUGCCAAGUGCUGUGUCAGGUCUUGAAAGGAAACAUAACAGUGAAUAGCAGUCCAGAGAAAGAACGAUAAAGCUGACAAAUGGUAGCCUCUUCAAUAAAUCACAGGUUCCACGGAGAGAAGUUGACUGUCAAGCCUACACAUUAGAAAAAGAAAUGUAAGAGGAGGAAAAGAAAACAAUAGAAAGAAACUUGCAAUGACUCAGUGAAUGAGAAAAGUCCAUCACAGGGAAUCCUGAAAAUACAAUAACAAUUAUCAUCAAAUUUUAUGAAGCAAAACUUUAAGAAAUGUUUGCUAAACAGGUCUGAAAAAAAUAAGAAUGGAAAUUAUGUAUAGUGAAGAGAAAAGAGACAAUGUCAGCCUAGGAUUCAAAAAUGUCAAGGUUGGGCAUUUUCAAACAAGGUGGAAUUGAAGUAGGAAGUUGAUGCGUACAAGGGUGGCUAAAGAGGUGGGAGGCAAGAAGGUCCCAAUACAUGCAUAUUCAAAGAGUGACGAGUUACAUUUUCUUGUUCCGUUUUGCUUUAGGAAAAUUCCCACCUUGUCCAGGUUUUGUGGUGUUUGAUUUUUAAAGAUUUAGGGACACCUGGGUGACACAGUGGUUGAGUGUCUGCCUUCGGCUCAGGGCGUGAUCCCGGGGUCCUGGGAUGAGUCCCACAUCGGGCUCCCCACAGGGAACCUGCUUCUCCCUUCUCCCUCUGCCUAUGUUACUGCCUCUCUCUGUGUCUCUCAUGAAUAAGUAAAAUCUUAAAAAAAGAUUAAAGAUUUAGUGCAGCUUUCUUUAAGAGGAAAAAUUCAAAUAUUAUAAAUAGAAAAUUAAGCACGGGACGUUAGAUGUUGUCUUUGACAUUAAGGAGCCCUGUUAUGUAAGCUUCAUUAACCUCACAGUACAUCUGUCUCUGGUCCCCUUUGGAGACUGGUACCCUUUGUGACCGGGAAGAUAAGGUGGACUUUGGGCUGCGGCAUGGGGCAGGUGGCCUAUGAUUCAUCUUCUUGCAUGAGGUGACUUGGGUCAGUGUAUCCUCAGCACUAGAAUGGUAAAUGAGAGAGAGCUGUGAACCUGGAGUGGGCUUAGAAGAUAAAGGAGUUAUUUCUGGUGGAAGUAGUGAUUAUUGUAUUUUAGAAGUGUGCAGGGAUCAGUGAAGCCCCUCCUUUGUCUCAUCUGAGUGGCCAGAUAUACUAGAGAGCGUGCUGGGUACUUGGGAUACAAAGUAGAAUAAAUACUGAAUGAGACUUGGUUUUGGGGAUGGAAGGGGUGGGACACUGGGAGGAGAGAGCCAGAAGGAACCUAGAGUACCCCA